CCCGCUGAACUUAAGCAUAUCAAUAAGCGGAGGAAAAGAAACUAACAAGGAUUCCCCUAGUAACUGCGAGUGAAGCGGGAAAAGCUCAAAUUUAAAAUCUGGUGGUCUUUGGCCAUCCGAGUUGUAAUUUAGAGAAGCGUCUUCCGCGCUGGACCGUGCACAAGUCUCCUGGAACGGAGCGUCGUAGAGGGUGAGAAUCCCGUCUUUGGCAUGGACACACCAGGGCUUUUGCGAUGCGCUCUCGAAGAGUCGAGUUGUUUGGGAAUGCAGCUCAAAAUGGGUGGUGAACUCCAUCUAAAGCUAAAUAUUGGCGAGAGACCGAUAGCGAACAAGUACCGUGAGGGAAAGAUGAAAAGCACUUUGGAAAGAGAGUGAAACAGUACGUGAAAUUGUUGAAAGGGAAACGCUUGAAGUCAGUCGCGUUGUCCAGAAAUCAACCUUGCUUCUGCCUGGUGUACUUUUUGGUCAACGGGUCAGCAUCAAUUUUGACCGGUGGAUAAAGGUCAGGGGAAUGUGGCAUUUUUAUUGAAUGUGUUAUAGCCCUUGGUUGCAUACAUCGGUUGGGAUUGAGGAACUCAGCAUGCCGCAAGGCCGGGUCUUUUGAUCACGUACAUGCUUAGGAUGCUGGCAUAAUGGCUUUAAUCGACCCGUCUUGAAACACGG
rnacentral:rRNA from 1 species